rnacentral:rRNA from 1 species
CCCGCUGAACUUAAGCAUAUCAAUAAGCGGAGGAAAAGAAACUAACAAGGACUCCCCUAGUAACUGCGAGUGAACCGGGAAAAGCUCAAAUUUUGAAUCUGGCGGUCCUUCGGGCCGUCCGAGUUGUAAUCUAGAGAAGCGUCUUCCGCGCUGGACCGUGUAUAAGUUUCCUGGAAUGGAACGUCGUAGAGGGUGACAAUCCCGUCUUUGACACGGACUCCCAGGGCUUUGUGAUGCGCUCUCGACGAGUCGAGUUGUUUGGGAAUGCAGCUCAAAUAGGGUGGUAAAUUCCAUCUAAAGCUAAAUAUAGGCGAGAGACCGAUAGCGAACAAGUACCGUGAGGGAAAGAUGAAAAGCACUUUGGAAAGAGAGUUAAACAGUACGUGAAAUUGCUGAAAGGGAAACGCUUGAAGUCAGUCACGUCUGCCAGGACUCAGCCUUGCUUCUGCUUGGUGUACUUUCUGGUUGGAUGGGCCAACAUCAAUUUCGACCGUUGGAGAAAGGCUUUGGGAAUGUGGCACCUUCGGGUGUGUUAUAGCCCUUUGUUGUAUACAACGGUUGGGAUUGAGGACUGCAGCAUGCCUUCAUGGCCGGGGUUCGCCCACGUACAUGCUUAGGAUGUUGGCAUAAUGGCUUUAAGCGACCCGUCUUGAAACACGG